rnacentral:snoRNA from 1 species
UUCAUCUACAUUAUGGUGCCAGCUAAAAACACAUUACUUACUGAUCGGCAGCUGGCUCAAUCGCAUUGGCUUGACUGUUUUCGCGCUGCGCAUAGAGUGAUUUGGUCCGUUGCUGGGCGCCGGUCUUUGAUUCCCUCGUUAUGGGGGCAAGGAGAAGAUCGGAAUCAGUUUGGGCCACAUUC